UGGGGAAUAUUGGACAAUGGGGGAAACCCUGAUCCAGCAAUGCCGCGUGAAUGAAGAAGGCCUUAGGGUUGUAAAGUUCUUUCACCUGUGAAGAUAAUGACGGUAGCAGGAGAAGAAGCCCCGGCUAACUCCGUGCCAGCAGCCGCGGUAAGACGGAGGGGGCUAGCGUUGUUCGGAAUGACUGGGCGUAAAGGGCGCGUAGGCGGCUUUUUAAGUGAGGCGUGAAAGCCCUGGGCUUAACCCAGGAGGUGCGUUUCAUACUGAAAGGCUUGAGUACGAGAGAGGAAAGUGGAAUUCCUAGUGUAGAGGUGAAAUUCGUAGAUAUUAGGAAGAACACCAGUGGCGAAGGCGGCUUUCUGGCUCGUAACUGACGCUGAGGCGCGAAAGCGUGGGGAGCAAACAGGAUUAGAUACCCAUGUAGUCCCUGAGCGGGCUGGCAAGGCGCAU
rnacentral:rRNA from 1 species